CAGCAGCCACGGUAAUACAGAGGGUGCAAGCGUUAAUCGGAAUUACUGGGCGUAAAGCGUGCGUAGGCGGCUUCUUAAGUCGGAUGUGAAAUCCCUGAGCUUAACUUAGGAAUUGCAUUCGAUACUGGGAAGCUAGAGUAUGGGAGAGGAUGGUAGAAUUCCAGGUGUAGCGGUGAAAUGCGUAGAGAUCUGGAGGAAUACCGAUGGCGAAGGCAGCCAUCUGGCCUAAUACUGACGCUGAGGUACGAAAGCAUGGGGAGCAAACAGGAUUAGAUACCCCCGUAGUCCCUGUCUCUUAUAC
rnacentral:rRNA from 1 species